rnacentral:rRNA from 1 species
CCUACGAGAGGCAGCAGUGAGGAAUAUUGCACAAUGGACGAGACCCUGAAGCAGCGAAGCCGCGUGAGUGAAGACGUAAUUAGUUAUGUAAAACUCUAUCAGCAGGGAAGUAAAUGACGGUACGUGAGUAAGAAGCCCCGGCUAACUACGUGCCGGCAGCCGCGGUAAUACGUAGGGAGCAAGCGUUAUCCGGAUUUACUGGGUGUAAAGGGAGCGUAGACGGCAGUGCAAGUCUGGAGUGAAAGGCGGGGGCUCAACCCCCGGACUGCUCUGGAAACUGUACGGCUGGAGUGCAGGAGAGGUAAGUGGAAUUCGUAGUGUAGCGGUGAAAUGCGUAGAUAUCAGGAGGAACACCAGUGGCGAAGGCGGCUUACUGGACUGUAACUGACGUUGAGGCUCGAAAGCGUGGGGAGCAAACAGGAUUAGAUACCCCAGUAGUC